AUUGAACGCUGGCGGCAUGCCUUACACAUGCAAGUCGAACGGCAGCACGGGUGCUUGCACCUGGUGGCGAGUGGCGAACGGGUGAGUAAUACAUCGGAACGUACCUUAUCGUGGGGAUAACGCAGCGAAAGCUGUGCUAAUACCGCAUACGCCCUGAGGGGGAAAGCGGGGGAUCGCAAGACCUCGCGCGAUUAGAGCGGCCGAUGCCUGAUUAGCUUGUUGGUGGGGUAAAAGCCCACCAAGGCGACGAUCAGUAGCUGGUCUGAGAGGACGAUCGGCGACACUGGGACUGAGAGACGGCCCAGACUCCUACGGGAGGCAGCAGUGGGGAAUUUUGGACAAUGGGGGCAACCCUGAUCCAGCAAUGCCGCGUGAGUGAAGAAGGCCUUCGGGUUGUAAAGCUCUUUUGUCAGGGAAGAAACACCGGCUCUAACACAGUCCGGGAAUGACGGUACCUGAAGAAUAAGCACCGGCUAACUACGUGCCAGCAGCCGCAGUAACAC
rnacentral:rRNA from 1 species